CUGAGCACCGGGGACCUCGGCGGGGAGCUCGGCUCCUCCUGGGGACGCCGGGAACGCCACGGCGCCAAGGGGGAGCCGGCCACCAGCUCCAGAACGCCGGGACCUGAGGAGGGGGAACCAGCGGCUCCCUCUCCCCUUCAGCUCUCUGAGCCCUGCACCUGAGGCAUUCUGUGUGUAGGAACCCCGAGCUCCCGGGCACCAGGUGAAACAGAGAGGAGGAAGGGCAGAGGGUGGCACUGGGCAGCCGAGCAUCCUCCUGCGCUGGGAGCCCAGGAACGAGCAGAGGCGCAGAACAGCUCCAGGCGAGGAUUUCAGCUCUGCGGGGAGGGGCUGCGCCGAGCAUCGGGGAUCAAGGGCUGGAAGGGAACCCAAGGUCCAGAAGUCUUCCAGAAAACAGUUUUAAAGUUGUUCAAAGCAAGGUGGAAAAGCUGAAAAGUCAAACUCAGGUCUGUGUUUAAUACUAUAAAAUUACAGGGUGGCAUCC